GACGAACGCUGGCGGCGUGCUUAACACAUGCAAGUCGAACGAAGUGGCGAACGGGUGAGUAACGCGUAAUCAACUUGCCCUUCAGAGGGGGACAAUAGUUGGAAACGACUGCUAAUACCGCAUACUGAAGGAGGGGUUUGUGUCUGAUUAGCUUGUUGGAGGGGUAACGGCCCACCAAGGCGAUGAGCAGUAGCCGGUCUGAGAGGAUGAACGGCACCAUUGGGACUGGAGACAGGGCCAGACUCCUACGGGAGGCAGCAGGGGGGAAUCUUCCGCAAUGGACGAAAGUCCGACGGAGCAACGCCGCGUUAGUGAUGACGGCCUUCGGGUUGUAAAGCUCUGUUAAUCGGGACGCGGUACCGGAAUAGAAAGCAACGGCUAACUACGUGCCAGCAGCCGCGGUAAUUC
rnacentral:rRNA from 1 species